rnacentral:sRNA from 1 species
AUCUGGACAAGCAGUGACCAUCAAGUCCUGAGUGGUAAGACCACCACCACCAAUUCCAAGAGAGAGGAGAAGCUUUUCAAUGUGACCAGCACACUGAGAAUCAACACAACAACUAAUGAGAUUUUCUACUGCACUUUUAGGAGAUUAGAUCCUGAGGAAAACCAUACAGCUGAAUUGGUCAUCCCAGAACUACCUCUGGCACAUCCUCCAAAUGAAAGGACUCACUUGGUAAUUCUGGGAGCCAUCUUAUUAUGCCUUGGUGUAGCACUGACAUUCAUCUUCUGUUUAAGAAAAGGUAGUAUUUCCUUAAUUGCAGUGGUCUCCACUGGGGGUGAGGAAGGGGUGAGAAUUGGAUCAUGGCUGCAAGGAAACCCGACUUAACCUCUGCAAGGUGGUGCAAAGGCAUUCCACUGUUCAACAGCAAUUAUAUUGAAGCUGAGUGGGAUCACUGGGUGAAAAUGAAGUGUAAGGGGUGAGGGGCAGGAGAAUGGGUAUGGAUGGAGGUAGAAGAUGCAGUGUCAUACAGUUUUUUUCUAUCAUGAAAAUAACCACAGACUUACAGAAGAGAAAGAGCUAAAAUGCCCGUCAUUUUCAGUUGCAU